rnacentral:rRNA from 1 species
AGCCAGACUCCUACGGGAGGCAGCAGUGGGGAAUAUUGCACAAUGGGGGAAACCCUGAUGCAGCGACGCCGCGUGAGUGAAGAAGUAUUUCGGUAUGUAAAGCUCUAUCAGCAGGGAAGAAAAUGACGGUACCUGACUAAGAAGCCCCGGCUAACUACGUGCCAGCAGCCGCGGUAAUACGUAGGGGGCAAGCGUUAUCCGGAUUUACUGGGUGUAAAGGGAGCGUAGACGGCAUGGCAAGUCAGAUGUGAAAGCCCGGGGCUCAACCCCGGGACUGCAUUUGAAACUGUCAGGCUGGAGUGCAGGAGAGGUAAGUGGAAUUCCUAGUGUAGCGGUGAAAUGCGUAGAUAUUAGGAGGAACACCAGUGGCGAAGGCGGCUUACUGGACUGUAACUGACGUUGAGGCUCGAAAGCGUGGGGAGCAAACAGGAUUAGAUACCCGUGUA